GCUCCCCCGUGAUUCUGUUUGUACCUGUUGGACUCGGACUUUGUAGCAUUGUUGUUUUUCUCACUGUAGUUUUGUGGAGAAGGCUGUUUUAUGAGAGCUGCAGAAAGAGGCAUGGUGAAAAUAAGGAUCAAGAAAUCUAUGUGAAUGUACGUCAAACAGGCGCCAGCACUGCUCCUCCUAGUGAUGAUGAAUCCAAUUCUCCUGUAUACGCGAAUGUUACUAACGUAAACCAAACAGACUGCUGCACCCCUGCUCCUAGCGAUGGAGGAUCCAUUCAUCUUGUGUACGCAAAUGUUGAUAACGUAAACCAAACAGACUGCUGCACCCCUGCUCCUAGCGAUGGAGGAUCCAUUCAUCUUGUGUACGCAAAUGUUGAUACUUUGAUGAAGUAACUGAGAGACCAGUGCCAUCAAUUAUAACCACAGGACACAACCCAGAACUGCAUCAAUGAUCCAAAGGACAGCUGAGACAGACAGCACUAACUGAACUAAAAGCAUCAAACUGUUACAUGCUUCUUUUUUUUAUUCAUUAUUUCUACAUUUUUUAAAUAGAAAUCUUUCCAUUUUUAAACGCAAAUUGCUCAUAAAAGCUUAGUGGUAUGAUUAGCUGCUGAAUGCCUUUUAUCUCCACUCUUUAAUAUUAAGGUGCCAAAGAAGAAAGUUUUUAUUAUAUGGCAUCAGUCCAAAGAACCCAUUCUGGCACCUUCAUUUUUAAAUGUCUAUGAUCUGUACAGCUUGAGUUUAAAUUUGUUGGUCAUAUUUUCCAACAUCUGUUUAAUGCCAAAGUUUUGUCUCUACACUUCUGUAUGUUUCUAUAAUUAAAGCUAUAUAACAAUA